rnacentral:rRNA from 1 species
UGCGCAGGCGGUUAUAUAAGACAGAUGUGAAAUCCCCGGGCUCAACCUGGGAACUGCAUUUGUGACUGUAUAGCUAGAGUACGGCAGAGGGGGAUGGAAUUCCGCGUGUAGCAGUGAAAUGCGUAGAUAUGCGGAGGAACACCGAUGGCGAAGGCAAUCCCCUGGGCCUGUACUGACGCUCAUGCACGAAAGGCUGGGAGCAAACA